UACGUAGGGUGCGAGCGUUAAUCGGAAUUACUGGGCGUAAAGUGUGCGCAGGCGGCAGCGCAAGUCGAGUGUGAAAGCCCCGGGCUUAACUUGGGAAUUGCGCUCGAAACUACUUUGCUGGAGUGUGGCAGAGGAAGGUGGAAUUCCACGUGUAGCGGUGAAAUGCGUAGAGAUGUGGAGGAACACCAAUGGCGAAGGCAGCCUUCUGGGCCAAAACUGACGCUCAUGCACGAAAGCGUGGGGAGCAAACAGG
rnacentral:rRNA from 1 species